rnacentral:rRNA from 1 species
GAUGAGCGCUAGCGGCAGGCCUAAUACAUGCAAGUCGAACGGGAUUAAGAGGCUUGCUUCUUAUGAGAGUGGCGCACGGGUGCGUAACACGUAUGCAACCUACCUUCAACUGGGGGAUAGCCUUCCGAAAGGGAGAUUAAUACCGCAUAACAUAAUUGAGUGGCAUCACUUGAUUAUCAAACGUCAGGGUUGAAGAUGGGCAUGCGUCCGGUUAGUUGGUUGGUGAGGUAACGGCUCACCAAGACUACGAUCGGUAGGGGAUCUGAGAGGAUGGCCCCCCACACUGGUACUGAGACACGGACCAGACUCCUACGGGAGGCAGCAGUAAGGAAUAUUGGUCAAUGGACGGAAGUCUGAACCAGCCAUGCCGCGUGCAGGAAGACGGUCCUCUGGAUUGUAAACUGCUUUUGUUAGGGAAGAAACUUCCGUACGUGUACGGGACUGACGGUACCUAAAGAAUAAGGAUCGGCUAACUCCGUGCCAGCAGCCGCAGUAAUAC